rnacentral:rRNA from 1 species
UACACGACCGUACCGCAAACCGACACUGGUGCGCGAGAUGAGUAUUCUAAGGCGCUUGAGAGAACUCAGGAGAAGGAACUCGGCAAAUUGACACCGUAACUUCGGAAGAAGGUGUGCCUUUAGUAGGUGAAGGGAUUUACUCCUAGAGCCCAAUGAGGUUGCAAAAAAUCGGUGGCUGCGACUGUUUAUUAAAAACACAGCACUCUGCAAACACGAAAGUGGACGUAUAGGGUGUGACGCCUGCCCGGUGCUGGAAGAUUAAAUGAUGGGGUGCAAGCUCUUGAUUGAAGUCCCAGUAAACGGCGGCCGUAACAAUAACGGUCCUAAGGUAGCGAAAUUCCUGGUCGGGUAAGUUCCGACCUGCACGAAUGGCGUAACGAUGGCCACACUGUCUCCUCCUGAGACUCAGCGAAGUUGAAAUGUUUGUGAUGAUGCAAUCUCCCCGCGGAAAGACGGAAAGACCCCAUGAACCUUUACUGUAGCUUUGUAUUGGACUUUGAACAGAUCUGUGUAGGAUAGGUGGGAGGCUUUGAAGUAGGGUCGCUAGAUCUUAUGGAGCCAACGUUGAAAUACCACCCUGGUGUGUUUGAGGUUCUAACCUAGGUCCAUUAUCUGGAUCGGGGACAGUGCAUGGUAGGCAGUUUGACUGGGGCGGUCUCCUCCCAAAGCGUAACGGAGGAGUUCGAAGGUACGCUAGUUACGGUCGGACAUCGUGACGAUAGUGCAAUGGCAUAAGCGUGCUUAACUGCGAGACUGACAAGUCGAGCAGAUGCGAAAGCAGGACAUAGUGAUCCGGUGGUUCUGUAUGGAAGGGCCAUCGCUCAACGGAUAAAAGGUACUCUGGGAUAACAGGCUGAUACCGCCCAAGAGUUCAUAUCGACGGCGGUGUUUGGCACCUCGAUGUCGGCUCAUCUCAUCCUGGGGCUGUAGCCGGUCCCAAGGGUAUGGCUGUUCGCCAUUUAAAGAGGUACGUGAGCUGGGUUUAAAACGUCGUGAGACAGUUUGGUCCCUAUCUUCCGUGGGCGCUGCAGAUUUGAGGAAGCCUGCUCCUAGUACGAGAGGACCGGAGUGGACACACCUCUGGUGUAUCGGUUGUCACGCCAGUGGCAUUGCCGAGUAGCUAAGUGUGGAAGAGAUAACCGCUGAAAGCAUCUAAGCGGGAAACUCGUUUCAAGAUGAGAUCUGCCGGGGCCUUGAGCCCCCUAAAGAGUCGUUCAAGACCAGGACGUUGAUAGGUCGGGUGUGGAAGCGCAGUAAUGCGUUAAGCUAACCGAUACUAAUUGCUCGUGCGGCUUGACCCU